AGAGUUUGAUCCUGGCUCAGGAUGAACGCCAGCGGUGUGCCUAAUACAUGCAAGUCGUACGCACUGGCCCAACUGAUUGAUGGUGCUUGCACCUGAUUGACGUUGGAUCACCAGUGAGUGGCGGACGGGUGAGUAACACGUAGGUAACCUGCCCCGGAGCGGGGGAUAACAUUUGGAAACAGAUGCUAAUACCGCAUAACAACAAAAGCCACAUGGCUUUUGUUUGAAAGAUGGCUUUGGCUAUCACUCUGGGAUGGACCUGCGGUGCAUUAGCUAGUUGGUAAGGUAACGGCUUACCAAGGCGAUGAUGCAUAGCCGAGUUGAGAGACUGAUCGGCCACAAUGGAACUGAGACACGGUCCAUACUCCUACGGGAGGCAGCAGUAGGGAAUCUUCCACAAUGGGCGCAAGCCUGAUGGAGCAACACCGCGUGAGUGAAGAAGGGUUUCGGCUCGUAAAGCUCUGUUGUUGGAGAAGAACGUGCGUGAGAGUAACUGUUCACGCAGUGACGGUAUCCAACCAGAAAGUCACGGCUAACUACGUGCCAGCAGCCGCGGUAAUACGUAGGUGGCAAGCGUUAUCCGGAUUUAUUGGGCGUAAAGCGAGAGCAGGCCCUCCCCUAGGUCUGAUGUGAAAGCCUUCGGCUUAACCGAAGAAGUGCAUCGGAAACCGGGCGACUUGAGUGCAGAAGAGGACAGUGGAACUCCAUGUGUAGCGGUGGAAUGCGUAGAUAUAUGGAAGAACACCAGUGGCGAAGGCGGCUGUCUGGUCUGCAACUGACGCUGAGGCUCGAAAGCAUGGGUAGCGAACAGGAUUAGAUACCCUGGUAGUCCAUACCGUAAACGAAUGAGUGCUAGGUGUGGGAGGGUUUCCGCCCUUCAGUGCCGGAGCUAAUGCAUUAAGCACUCCGCCUGGGGAGUACGACCCGCAAGGUUGAAACUCAAAGGAAUUGACGGGGGCCCGCACAAGCGGUGGAGCAUGUGGUUUAAUUCGAAGCUACGCGAAGAACCUUACCAGGUCUUGACAUCUCGCGCUAACCUUAGAGAUAAGGCGUUCCCUUCGGGGACGCAAUGACAGGUGGUGCAUGGUCGUCGUCAGCUCGUGUCGUGAGAUGUUGGGUUAAGUCCCGCAACGAGCGCAACCCUUGUUACUAGUUGCCAGCAUUAAGUUGGGCACUCUAGUGAGACUGCCGGUGACAAACCGGAGGAAGGUGGGGCCGACGUCAGAUCAUCAUGCCCCUUAUGACCUGGGCUACACACGUGCUACAAUGGAUGGUACAACGAGUCGCAAGCUCGCGAGAGUAAGCUAAUCUCUUAAAGCCGUUCUCAGUUCGGACUGUAGGCUGCAACUCGCCUACACGAAGUCGGAAUCGCUAGUAAUCGCGGAUCAGCAUGCCGCGGUGAAUACGUUACCCGGGCCUUGUACACACCGCCCGUCA
rnacentral:rRNA from 1 species